rnacentral:rRNA from 1 species
AUUGAACGCGGGCGGCAUGCUUUACACAUGCAAGUCGAACGGCAGCGGAGAGUGCUUGCACUCUGCCGGCGAGUGGCGAACGGGUGAGUAACAUAUUGGAACGUACCGAGUAAUGGGGGAUAACUAUCCGAAAGGAUAGCUAAUACCGCAUACGCUUUGAGAAGGAAAGUGGGGGAUCUUCGGACCUCACGUUAUUCGAGCGGCCAAUAUCUGAUUAGCUAGUUGGUGGGGUAAAGGCCUACCAAGGCGACGAUCAGUAGCGGGUCUGAGAGGAUGAUCCGCCACACUGGGACUGAGACACGGCCCAGACUCCUACGGGAGGCAGCAGUGGGGAAUUUUGGACAAUGGGCGCAAGCCUGAUCCAGCCAUGCCGCGUGUCUGAAGAAGGCCUUCGGGUUGUAAAGGACUUUUGUUAGGGAAGAAAAGAAAUGGGUUAAUACUCCAUUUUGCUGACGGUACCUAAAGAAUAAGCACCGGCUAACUACGUGCCAGCAGCCGCGGUAAUACGUAGGGUGCGAGCGUUAAUCGGAAUUACUGGGCGUAAAGCGAGCGCAGACGGUUUGUUAAGCAGGAUGUGAAAUCCCCGGGCUCAACCUGGGAACUGCGUUCUGAACUGGCAAGCUAGAGUGUGUCAGAGGGGGGUAGAAUUCCACGUGUAGCAGUGAAAUGCGUAGAGAUGUGGAGGAAUACCGAUGGCGAAGGCAGCCCCCUGGGAUAACACUGACGUUCAUGCUCGAAAGCGUGGGUAGCAAACAGG